rnacentral:rRNA from 1 species
UUUACUGAGAGUUUGAUCCUGGCUCAGGACGAACGCUGGCGGCGUGCCUAAUACAUGCAAGUCGUGCGGACCUUUUAAAAGCUUGCUUUUAAAAGGUUAGCGGCGGACGGGUGAGUAACACGUGGGCAACCUGCCUGUAAGACUGGGAUAACGCCGGGAAACCGGGGCUAAUACCGGAUCGUUUUUUCCUCCGCAUGGAGGAAAAAGGAAAGGCGGCUUCGGCUGCCACUUACAGAUGGGCCCGCGGCGCAUUAGUUAGUUGGCGGGGUAAUGGCCCACCAAGGCAACGAUGCGUAGCCGACCUGAGAGGGUGAUCGGCCACAUUGGGACUGAGACACGGCCCAAACUCCUACGGGAGGCAGCAGUAGGGAAUCUUCCGCAAUGGACGAAAGUCUGACGGAGCA